UACGAAGGGGGCUAGCGUUGUUCGGAAUCACUGGGCGUAAAGCGCACGUAGGCGGAUUGUUAAGUCGGGGGUGAAAUCCUGCGGCUCAACCUCAGAACUGCCUUCGAUACUGGCAAUCUCGAGUCCGGAAGAGGUUGGUGGAACAGCUAGUGUAGAGGUGAAAUUCGUAGAUAUUAGCUAGAACACCAGUGGCGAAGGCGGCCAACUGGUCCGGUACUGACGCUGAGGUGCGAAAGCGUGGGGAGCAAACAGG
rnacentral:rRNA from 1 species